GGCGGUGUUUGGCACCUCGAUGUCGGCUCAUCACAUCCUGGGGCUGAAGUAGGUCCCAAGGGUAUGGCUGUUCGCCAUUUAAAGUGGUACGCGAGCUGGGUUUAGAACGUCGUGAGACAGUUCGGUCCCUAUCUGCCGUGGGCGCUGGAGAACUGAGGGGGGCUGCUCCUAGUACGAGAGGACCGGAGUGGACGCAUCACUGGUGUUCGGGUUGUCAUGCCAAUGGCACUGCCCGGUAGCUAAAUGCGGAAGAGAUAAGUGCUGAAAGCAUCUAAGCACGAAACUUGCCCCGAGAUGAGUUCUCCCUGACUCCUUGAGAGUCCUGAAGGAACGUUGAAGACGACGACGUUGAUAGGCCGGGUGUGUAAGCGCAGCGAUGCGUUGAGCUAACCGGUACUAAUGAACCGUGAGGCUUAACCUUACAACGCCGAAGGUGUUU
rnacentral:rRNA from 1 species